AGAAUGUAGAACUUAUGUGAUGGGCUAAAUUGCAAAGAGGCGAUCAGACAUCAGGAAGUACUUGAUAACAAUUAGAAUAAUUCAAAAAUGUAUAAUGGACUUCCUGGGGAGAUGAUAAUUUUUCCCUCCAAAUGUUUUCAAACAGCCUGGAUGAAUAUUUCUUAUGUAUGUUAUAGUGGAUAUUCUUUUCUGUUUGGAUUGGAUCAUACUGGAAAGUAUCAUCUUCAAAUUCUGGUAUUCUUCUAAAUUAUUUUUAUAGCUCCUGCCAGUCCUGAAUCUGUGAUUCUAUGCACAGAAUUUCUCAAACAUAGGAACGCAUUCUGAGCGUUUCUUCAAGUCUGGAUUCCCCUAAGGACCAGCCCUCUCUUCAAUGAUCCAGGAUCUAAUCUUGACUUAUUAACCUCAUUUGUUCCUCCUUCAUAUACAACUGCCAAAGAAUGGAGAAACGAAAAAAGGCCAAGCUCAAGCUAGGCCAUGGGAUCACUAAGUUCAAUUUUGGGGGAAAGGAGAUGGAAACUUCUGGCCAAAAAUGAGGCUUGUAAAUUGUGGGAAUAGUGCCUUCACUAUAUCAAACAGUUGACCUAGACACAAACUCAUUUUUAUUAUUAUUUUAUUUUAUUUUUAUUUAAUAGCCUUUUAUUUACAGGUUAUAUGUAUGGGUAACUUUACAGCAUUAACAAUUGCCAAACCUCUUGUUCCAAUUUUUUACCUCUUACCUCCCCACCCCCUCCCCCAGAUGGCAGGAUGACCAGUAGAUGUUAAAUAUAUUAAAAUAUAAAUUAGAUACACAAUAAGUCUACAUGACCAAACCGUUAUUUUGCUGUACAAAAAGAAUCAGACUCUGAAAUAUUGUACAAUUAGCUUGUGAAGGAAAUAAAAAAUGCAGGUGGGCAUAAAUAUAGGGAUUGGGAAUUCAAUGUAAUGGUUUUUAGCCAUCUCCCAGAGUUCUUUUUCUGGGCAUAGCUGGUUCAGUUCAUUACUGCUCCAUUGGAAAUGAUUUAGUUGAUCUCAUUGCUGAGGAUGGCCAGGUCCAUCAGAACUGGUCAUCAUAUAGUAUUGUUGUUGAAGUAUAUAAUGAUCUCCUGGUCCUGCUCAUUUCACUCA
rnacentral:lncRNA from 1 species